rnacentral:lncRNA from 1 species
AGGAUUCUAGGUCAACAGCUUUUUUUCUUUUAGUGCUAUAAAGAUGUAUCUCCAUUGUCUUCUGGCUUCCAUGGUUUCUGUCAAGAAGUCAGCUAUAAUUAUUAUCAUUUCUUACUUUAUCUAGGUAGUUGUUUUUCCUGGCUGCCUUUAUGAUUUCUCUCUUUGAGUUUUCAGCAGUUUGACUAUGAUGUGUCAGGUGUGUUGUGUUUACCCUUGUGUUGAUCCUGCUUGGGGUUCUCUGAACUUCUUGGUUCAUUAAACCUUUAUGGGAUGUCUCCACUGUGGCAGGAAGGGACAAAGAUGAAUAGCCAACAAAGGUUAGUAACACCUGUCCCUCCCCCAUCUCUCCUUCCUCUCUCUGCCAGCACAUAGGAAGAAUUUGAAGAAUCAGUUGCAACCACUCCACCUACUUGUCUAAGAAUACAAGCUUUCAGCUUUGGGCCUGGGCCCCUGUGAAGGUCAGGACUACCUGUGGAUUUCAGAGUGUCUUUGGCUACAGAAACACAGAUCAUGCUCAUUUGUCAUUGACCUUAGAGUGCCGGCGUGUCUGGCACUGAGAGCAGAUGUUCAGACUAGCCAUAGAGGCCCCCAUCCUUCCCCCUUUCCACGUGCAUAUGCACACACGCAUACACAAGUAAGUCAAGCUCUCUUUUCCAGUUAAAUAAACAUCACACCCUCCAAAGGAAGAACAAACAGCUGGCUUAUCCCCAAAGAAAAUAUGCCUCCGGGCUUCUGGUUUUGGAGGUUUUGUAAUGUUUAUUUUUCAGCAUUCUCUACUUGGCUACUUCCGCCUUUCCUUUGGUUUUAAAUACCACAGUUUAAGUUAGCUGCGGUGUUCCGUGACCCUGGGUGGUGGAUUGUCUUCAUGGACGUGGGGCUCCCCAGCCCCUUCCUCUUCUAGAAGUGCAGAGCCAGUGAAGCUUGUAUCCAGGACCUGAAAAUACAGAAGCAUGGCUGUUGUGUGGUGAAUGGAUGGCAGGGGUCUCAGCUACUGCCACCACCAGGACGGAUGUGGAUCGUUGCUCAAUCGAGGUACGUAGAUUAAGCCAUCAAGUGCCCUUGACCUGCUGAAGAGGAUCAAGGUGAAAACAGCCUUGUGAUGACUCUGUGUCACCA